AACGAACGCUGGCGGCACGUUUUAAGCAUGCAAGUCGAAUGGCAGCAGGGGCAACUCUGUGAGAAUGGCGAACGGGUGAGUAACACGUAGGUGAUCUGCCUUGAGGAUGGGGAUAGCCUGUGGAAACACAGGGUAAUACCGAAUGAGCUGACGAGACUUUGGUUUUGUUAGUAAAGGUGCUACGGCACCGCCUUGAGAGGAGCCUGCGGCUGAUUAGCUAGUUGGUGGGGUAUGAGCUUACCAAGGCGACGAUCAGUAGCCGGCCUGAGAGGGUGGACGGCCACACUGGAACUGAGACACGGUCCAGACUCCUACGGGAGGCAGCAGCUAAGAAUCUUCCGCAAUGGGCGAAAGCCUGACGGAGCGAUGCCGCGUGAUCGAUGAAGGUCGAGAGAUUGUAAAGAUCUUUUCUACAUGAGGAAUAAGUCUGGGAGGGAAUGCCCGGAUGAUGACGUUAGUGUAGGAAUAAGCCCCGGCUAAUUACGUGCCAGCAGCCGCAGUAA
rnacentral:rRNA from 1 species